rnacentral:pre_miRNA from 1 species
AGUAGGAACAACCCCAGUGGCUGCGGCAGCUCUGGAAACCUGGAUUCAGCUCCCGCAGGAACUACUCCCUCUGCAGGGUCUGGAGGCUCCGGGGCGGG